GUGAAUGGCAAGACUAGGAACACCUUUACUUUGUGUAUAGAAAAAACUUUUCAUCUAAGUGAAAAGACUUAGAUAAUAAAGGUAGACGAAAAGACCCCGCGGAACUUUACCUUUUCCUGUACUCUCGUACAUUCACUUAAAAGUACUUAAGGUUUGAUUGGGGCAAUCUUGGAACCAACAAAGCUUCCAAUUUCUUAAAAAAAUCUAUUCAAAGUUUGUUAAAAACCAAAAAGAAGUUACCCCGGGGAUAACAGCGUAAUCUAACUUAAGAGUACAUAUCGAAAGUUAGGUUUGCGACCUCGAUGUUGGCUUAAGGAUAUCCACAUUAGUGCAACCGCUAUGACAGGAUAGUCUGUUCGACUA
rnacentral:rRNA from 3 species